AUACGUAGGGUGCGAGCGUUGUCCGGAAUGAUUGGGCGUAAAGGGCGCGUAGGCGGCCCGGUAAGUCUGGAGUGAAAGUCCUGUUUUUAAGAUGGGAAUUGCUUUGGAUACUGUCGGGCUUGAGUGCAGGAGAGGUAAGUGGAAUUCCCAGUGUAGCGGUGAAAUGCGUAGAGAUUGGGAGGAACACCAGUGGCGAAGGCGACUUACUGGACUGUAACUGACGCUGAGGCGCGAAAGUGUGGGGAGCAAACAGGAUUAGAUACCCUGGUAGUCCACACUGUAAACGAUGAAUGCUAGGUGUAGGGGGUAUCGACCCCUUCUGUGCCGCAGUCAACACAAUAAGCAUUCCGCCUGGGGAGUACGGCCGCAAGGUUGAAACUCAAAGGAAUUGACGGGG
rnacentral:rRNA from 1 species